rnacentral:rRNA from 1 species
UACGUAGGGUGCGAGCGUUAAUCGGAAUUACUGGGCGUAAAGAGCGCGCAGGCGGUCGUUCAAGUCGAGUGUGAAAGCCCCCGGCUCAACUGGGGAGGGUCACGCGAUACUGAUCGACUCGAAGGCAGGAGAGGGUAGUGGAAUUCCCGGUGUAGUGGUGAAAUGCGUAGAUAUCGGGAGGAACACCAGUGGCGAAGGCGACUACCUGGCCUGUUCUUGACGCUGAGGCGCGAAAGCUAGGGGAGCAAACGGG